rnacentral:rRNA from 1 species
UUCCGCGGUGUACACUUAUGGAAGCCUUUGCAGCCACGCAAGUGGUAGACCCGAAGCGACUGUAAACAAGUUUGGUGUCGUGAUGCAAGUCAGCGGUCCCCGCUGGCGACACUUUCGAAUUGACGGGGACACCCUAAAGCCGGUCGCACCAACCCGUGUGGGGAAACCUCACGGGGGCCUGUGGUAAUGACACAGGGGACGGUAACAGACGAUCCGGAUAGUUCUGCCUGGCAGAGAGGAUGGGUAAUCCGCAGCGAAGCCCCUACGUCGCGCCCCCCUCCGGGGGCGCGAUACGGGGAACGUUCACAGACUAAGUGGAAGUGGGUGGGGUCCCCCGGGACCCUGCUUAAGAUAUAGUCGGGCCACCUGGGAGACCAGGUGGGAAGUACACCGCUACGAACCGUUCCGUAGGUGAACCUGCGGAAGGAUCAUUA